rnacentral:ncRNA from 2 species
UUCUUAUCCAGAGAGGUGGAGGGACUGGCCCUUUGAAACCUCGGCAACAGGCUUUUAAUCAAAGCACUGUGCCAAUUCCAUCAAGCAGUAGCUUGAAAGAUAAGAG